AGUGAACGCUGGCGGUAGGCCUAACACAUGCAAGUCGAACGGCAGCACAGUAAGAGCUUGCUCUUACGGGUGGCGAGUGGCGGACGGGUGAGGAAUACAUCGGAAUCUACUUUUUCGUGGGGGAUAACGUAGGGAAACUUACGCUAAUACCGCAUACGACCUACGGGUGAAAGUAGGGGAUCUUCGGACCUUGCGCGAUUGAAUGAGCCGAUGUCGGAUUGGCUAGUUGGCGGGGUAAAGGCCCACCAAGGCGACGAUCCGUAGCUGGUCUGAGAGGAUGAUCAGCCACACUGGAACUGAGACACGGUCCAGACUCCUACGGGAGGCAGCAGUGGGGAAUAUUGGACAAUGGGCGCAAGCCUGAUCCAGCCAUACCGCGUGGGUGAAGAAGGCCUUCGGGUUGUAAAGCCCUUUUGUUGGGAAAGAAAAGCAGCAGGUUAAUACCCCGCUGUUCUGACGGUACCCAAAGAAUAAGCACCGGCUAACUUCGUG
rnacentral:rRNA from 1 species